rnacentral:lncRNA from 1 species
UUACUUUCCUGAAAGAUAGUACUGUCUUGAGGUAAAGUAAUCAAUUUUGCACAUUUACUUUGAUCUUCAUUUGGAAAAUGGAGAUAAUAGUGGUAUCUAUUCCAAAGCGUAUCAUCGUCAGGGUUAAACAAACUCACACAUAUUAAGGGCUUCAAAGACGAUGGCUUAUGGGAAGCUCUCAACAGUGUUGGCUGUCAUGAUCUCGCUGGAAUUACGGAGCCAUCAAUAUCCCUGGUCAAUCUACUACCGCCAGAGAAGCAAGGUGCUGUCGGAACACGGAAGUUUCUGCCAAACUCCAAGUCAAAGCAGAAAACGGAUUCAUUCAGCAGGAAGACAACUUUCCGGAGCUGUGCAGAUUUGGGCACACCAUUUUACGUGUUUUGAUUUUAAUUGCCUCAUUUGUCCAAUAGAUUAUUUCUAAGAUCUUUCCAGUUCUAAAAGUUUAUAAUUAUUUUGUAACCACAAAUCCCCAUGUAAUAAAAACAAAGAAAUAAAACAAGCUACAAAUUAAUUUGCUACUUAAUUUUCCACAAAUUCCAACUUUUGAAGGUCUAAGACACAAGCCAGAGUUUCUAUUUUCAUCCUAAUACAUAUUAUCAAUAUUUCUGGGUCUCACAAAAUGCUUGUGCUAUAAAUUAAAUAAUAUGGCACCCUACUUCAUGAAUAGGGGAAAGAAUGUGAAGCGAUUAUUUUCAAGGUGGUUCUAAAGACUGUUUUAGGAAAAUCUGGGAUUAAAGUAAAAUCCCACAGGUAUUGUAUGUUUCACUGUGAGCCUUCAUGCUCUCCCUGGCACUUGUGGAGCAGCGAACUUGGUAACAUUCUCCUUUGAAGAAGUGCGAUCCUGGAUGAAGUAACCAUAUGCCUCCCCAGAGAGUCUCACAGUAUCAAGAACAUUUCCUGGAUUAUAAACUCCUAGGAGAAUUUAUUUUAUGUAAAC